rnacentral:rRNA from 1 species
GACGAAACGUGCGAACGUUAUUCGGAAUCACUGGGCUUAAAGCGCGUGUAGGCGGGUCGGCGCGUCGGCCGCUGAAAUCCCCCGGCUCAACCGGGGAAGGGGCGCCGAGACGGCCGGCCUGGAGGGGCGUAGGGGGGGCUGGAACUUCCGGUGGAGCGGUGAAAUGCGUUGAGAUCGGAAGGAACGCCCGUGGCGAAAGCGAGCCCCUGGACGUCUACUGACGCUGAGACGCGAAAGCCAGGGGAGCGAACGGG